UAUCACUGUAUUUCAAUUUAGUAAAGCCUGGACCAGGAUAAUCUAUGAGAUGGAUUUGAAAGGUUGAAAUACAAUGUGGAUAAAGCAAUCUCGCUUGACAGUUAACCUGAGAUCAUCCUAGAGCAUUCAGGGUCAAGAGGAUGAAUUAUGAGGUAACCAUGAGUAUGGGUUCUAAAAUAUUUUUUUGUGAUAAUUCGACAUAUCUGAACAUCAGGAACUAUUGCUAGAUGGUAUCUCGAUUAGUGCAGAAAUUAGUUCCUGUGCUAUCGGCUUAGUGUUUGAACCUAUGGAGUCACGCACACAAGUCAAACAA
rnacentral:lncRNA from 1 species